rnacentral:rRNA from 1 species
AAUGAACGUUGGCGGCGUGGAUUAGGCAUGCAAGUCGAGCGAGGAGAGUUUGGUAGCUUGCUAUUGAACUCGGAAAGCGGCGAAAGGGAGAGUAACGCGUAGUUACGUGCCCCAGGGUUCGGAAUAGCCACGGGAAACUGUGGGUAAUGCCGAAUAACAUCUCCGGAUCAAAGGUGUGAUUCCGCCCUGGGAGCGGACUGCGUCCUACUAGCUAGUUGGCGGGGUAAAGGCCCAACAAGGCAACAAUGGGUAGCGGGUGUGAGAGCAUGACCCGUCUCACUGGGACUGAGACACUGCCCAGACACCUACGGGUGGCUGCAGUCGAGAAUCUUCGGCAAUGGGCGAAAGCCUGACCGAGCGACGCCGCGUGCGGGAUGAAGGCCCUCGGGUUGUAAACCGCUGUCGUAGGGGAGGAAGGCUCCAUGAAGAAUGGGGUUUGACCUAUCCUAGGAGGAAGUACGGGCUAAGUUCGUGCCAGCCGCCGCCGUAA